UACAGAGGUGGCAAGCGUUGUUCGGAAUUACUGGGCGUAAAGGGCGUGUAGGUGGUUUCGUAAGUCUGGCGUGAAAUUUUUCGGCUUAACCGGGAAAGGUCGUCGGAUACUGCGGAGCUAGAGGACGGUAGAGGCGUGUGGAAUUCCGGGUGUAGUGGUGAAAUGCGUAGAGAUCCGGAGGAACACCAGUGGCGAAGGCGACACGCUGGGCCGUACCUGACACUGAUGCGCGACAGCAUGGGGAGCAAACAGG
rnacentral:rRNA from 1 species